AAUAUACGCAUGUGCGAACAAGACAUAGCGAAAACAGCAGUUCGAACGCCAAUUGGACUUUUUGAGUUUGUCGUUAUGCCAUUUGGGCUAAAAAAUGCCACUCAAACGUUCCAAAGAUACACAGACAUCACAUUCUGAAAUAUCGACUUUACCUAGAUGACAUUCUCAUAUUUUCAGAAAAUGAAAAAGAACAUCACAAGCAUGUUCAGUUGGUGCUGCAGAAGCUUAAAGAGGCAAAACUGUGUGUCAACCUAUCCAAGUGUGAGUUUUGCUUUAGCGAACUAAACUUCCUAGGAUACCACAUCUCAGCGGAAGGUAUACAGCCACCGAAAGAAAGAGUAGAAGCAAUCUGUCAAUAUCCAAAACCGAAUACAAUUGUUGAACUCCGACGGUUUCUAGGAAUGGUAAAUUUCUACAGGAAACAUAUUCCUAACGCCGCACAAAUUCAAGCACCUCUACAUAACCUUUUCAAAGACUCGAAAAAAAUGACAAACGGAAAAUCGAUUGGGAUGUAGAGCUUGAAAAAGCAUUCAGCGACUGCAGAGCCAGUUUGGCUACACAAUCAUUGUUAAAUUUUCCGGUAUCAAAUGCGUCGUUUGCAUUAAUAACAGAUGCGUCGGAAACUGCAGCUGGAGCACACCUGGAACAACAAGUGAAUGGGGAAUGGAAGCCAAUCGCAUUCUUCUCAACCAAGCUAAAAAAUGCGCAAAAGAAUUACUCUGCGUAUGACCGUGAGCUUUUGGCAAUAUACUUAGCCAUUAAACAUUUUCGUCCCACACUUGAUGGUCGCAAAUUCGUCAUUCGCACCGAUCAUAAGCCUUUAACGUAUGCAUUCCGUCAAAAAGCAAACAAACCGUCACCACGGCAGAAGCUAAAAUUUCCAUCUGGCAAUACAAUAUACUGCGAUAUAUCAAAUGCAAUGGUUUGGCCGUACGUUCCAGUUAAGCUUCGUAACAAAAUAUUUCAACACAUUCACAAUUUCUCACACCCUGGUACGAGUACAAGAUCAACUUAAAAAAAAAUUAGAAGCAAAUACAUUUUGUUAUCAAUGAACAAGGACUCAAUAGAAAUGGUUCGUUCUUGUAUCAGUUGCCAACGAUCAAAAAUACAAAAGCACAAUCAUCUAGCGCCUAAGCCGUUCAAACAAACUGAUCAACGUUUCCACCAUGUCCACCUUGAUAUUACCAUUCUUCUAGAACAUGAGGGAUACAGAUAUUGUUUAACCAUGGUAGACGGAUUCACACGUUGGCCCAAACUGGUUCCGUUAAAAGAAUUUCAGCCAACACGAUAACGACAAGCUUUUAUUCAGCAUGGAUCUCAUGUUUCGGUUCCCCGAAGACCAUAACAACAGACCAGGGCUCCCAGUUUGAGUCCGCAAUAUUCCAAGCGUUGACAAAAAUAGUUGGCGCACACAACAUACGUACAUCAUCUUACCAUCCGACGUCCAACGGCAUGAUUGAGAGAUGGCAUCGUACGCUAAAAGCUUCACUCAUGUGCAAUCGACAUACUCCAUGGCCACUUCUCCGACCAACAGUGAUGUUAGGAUUUCGCUGUUCCCAUAAAGAAGACAUUGGAGCAUCCCCAGAAGCAGAAAUGCUGUAUGGCACCAAUCUUCGUUUACCCGGCGAAUUCUUUGAUAGCGGGGAUGGAUCAUAUAAUCCACAGGAGUUCAUAUCCAAGUUUCGUGAGUACAUACAGUAGCUAAAACCAAGUUCACCGGUACACCACAAUUCAACACGAUUUUUUGUCAAUAAAAAUCUACACGAUUGUAGUCAUGUGUUCAUCCGCUCGGAUCAUGUGAGAAAACCACUAGAGCCUCCUUACACGGGUCCGUUCGAAGUUGUGGGACGCAUUUCAGACCGACUCUAUGCAAUUAAAAUUAACAGCGCAAUACACAACAUAUCUGUGGAGAGAUUAAAACCAGCGUUCUUUCCCAGAAGUGACGAGUUACCAAAUACACCGCUGCGAACAUAUAAAAAAAGAAAUGUAACAUUUGCAGACAAUUCUAAAUCGUGAUUAAAUCACUGGGAAGGGAGUAGCUGUGACAACGUAAUUUAAAUAUACUAUUUUUAGUUAAGUUUCUCGAGCCGUCUGGCAACAUUUUUUAUGUAAAAAAGUCGAACUGAACUAAUUUAACUUUUCGGAUGAAAUAAAGGAAAAGAAAAAGAAGCCAAAUAA